rnacentral:rRNA from 1 species
CAGUAGGGAAUCCUCCACAAUGGGCGAAAGCCUGAUGGAGCAACGCCGCGUGUGUGAUGAAGGGUUUCGGCUCGUAAAACACUGUUGUAAGAGAAGAAUGACAUUGAGAGUAACUGUUCAAUGUGUGACGGUAUCUUACCAGAAAGGAACGGCUAAAUACGUGCCAG